rnacentral:rRNA from 1 species
AUAACGAUACGGAACUCAUACGAGGCUCCGUAAUCGGAAUGAGUACACUUUAAAUCCUUUAACGAGGAUCUAUUGGAGGGCAAGUCUGGUGCCAGCAGCCGCGGUAAUUCCAGCUCCAAUAGCGUAUAUUAAAGUUGUUGCGGUUAAAAAGCUCGUAGUUGGAUCUCGGUUUCACUCAGGCGGUACACCUUGCGGUGUUCACUGUCUGGGCGGACGUUUCUGUUGGUUCGCUAUUGGUUCUCUUAAUCGAGUGCCAGCCGGUGGCCAGCACGUUUACUUUGAAAAAAUUGGAGUGCUCAAAGCAGGCGUUACAGCCUGAACAUUAGUGCAUGGAAUAAUGGAAUAGGAUCUCGAUUCUAUUUCGUUGGCUUUCGGAGUCGAGGUAAUGAUUAAUAGGGACAGACGGGGGCAUUCGUACUGCGACGUUAGAGGUGAAAUUCUUGGAUCGUCGCAAGACGAACUACUGCGAAAGCAUUUGCCAAGAAUGUUUUCAUUAAUCAAGAACGAAAGUUAGAGGUUCGAAGGCGAUCAGAUACCGCCCUAGUUCUAACCAUAAACGAUGCCAACCGGCGAUCCGUCGUCGUUAAUUGAAUGACUCGACGGGCAGCCUCCGGGAAACCAGAGUGUUUGGGUUCCGGGGGAAGUAUGGUUGCAAAGCUGAAACUUAAAGGAAUUGACGGAAGGGCACCACCAGGAGUGGAGCCUGCAGCUUAAUUUGACCCAACACGGGAAAUCUCACCAGGCCCGGACACCGGAAGGAUUGACAGAUUGAGAGCUCUUUCUUGAUUCGGUGGGUGGUGGUGCAUGGCCGUUCUUAGUUGGUGGAGCGAUUUGUCUGGUUAAUUCCGAUAACGAACGAGACUCUGGCCUACUAACUAGAAGGGCCGUUCUUUAUGAGCGGUCCUCUGCUUCUUAGAGGGACGGGCGGCGUUUAGCCGCACGAGAAUGAGCAAUAACAGGUCUGUGAUGCCCUUAGAUGUUCUGGGCUGCACGCGCGCUACACUGAAGGAAUCAGCAUGUUCUCCCCUCCCUGAAAAGGGCGGGUAACCCGUUGAAACUCCUUCGUGAUGGGGAUUGGAGAUUGUAAUUAUUCUCCAUGAACGAGGAAUUCCCAGUAGGCGCGAGUCAUCAGCUUGCGUCGAUUACGUCCCUGCCCUUUGUACACACCGCCCGUCGCUACUACCGAUCGAGUGAUUUAGUGAGGACUUCGGACUGGUCUUCAAGUUGGCUUCGGUCAGCUCGAAGCUCCGGAAAGAUGCCCAAACUUGAUCACUUAGA